CAAAAACAUAGCUACAUGUAUUAAWAGUGGUAAWUUCUGCUCAAUGAAGUUUAAAAUAGCCGCAGUACUCUGACUGUGCUAAGGUAGSGCAAUCAAUUGGCUUUUAAUUGGAGUCCGGUAUGARGGAAAACAUAAGGGGUACUUUAUUUUUUGCAGCGCGUGRAUUUUCUUAUWAAGUGCRAAUACUUUUAUWAAAAUAAUAGACGAGAAGACCCUAGAAAUUUUAUAGAGAAACUUUUUGUUGGGGCAACAGAGUAGCAAUAURACCUACUUUUAAUUACAGGAAAAACAUAUUUUGCGAGGAAUAAAUUACUCUAGGGAUAACAGCAUAAUUUGCGAAAGUUUGUGACCUCGAUGUUGGAUUAGGGUAUUAACAUUUAAAAGAUAACUAUAAGCUCUGUUCGAG
rnacentral:rRNA from 1 species